AGCGAACGCUGGCGGCAGGCUUAACACAUGCAAGUCGAGCGGGCACUUCGGUGUCAGCGGCAGACGGGUGAGUAACACGUGGGAACGUACCCUUUGGUUCGGAAUAACGCUGGGAAACUAGCGCUAAUACCGGAUACGCCCUUUUGGGGAAAGGCUUGCUGCCGAAGGAUCGGCCCGCGUCUGAUUAGCUGGUUGGUGGGGUAAUGGCCUACCAAGGCGACGAUCAGUAGCUGGUCUGAGAGGAUGAUCAGCCACACUGGGACUGAGACACGGCCCAGACUCCUACGGGAGGCAGCAGUGGGGAAUAUUGGACAAUGGGCGCAAGCCUGAUCCAGCCAUGCCGCGUGAGUGAUGAAGGCCUUAGGGUUGUAAAGCUCUUUUGUCCGGGACGAUAAUGACGGUACCGGAAGAAUAAGCCCCGGCUAACUUCGUG
rnacentral:rRNA from 1 species